CUCCUACGGGAGACAGCAGUAAGGAAUAUUGGUCAAUGGGCGGAAGCCUGAACCAGCCAUGCCGCGUGCAGGAAGACGGCCCUACGGGUUGUAAACUGCUUUUGCAGGGGAAUAAACCUCAGUAUGUAUACUGAGCUGAAUGUACUCUGAGAAUAAGGAUCGGCUAACUCCGUGCCAGCCGCCGCGGUAAUAC
rnacentral:rRNA from 1 species